ACAGAGGAGGCAAGCGUUGUUCGGAAUCACUGGGCUUAAAGCGCGUGUAGGCGGCUCCGAAAGCGUCGUGUGAAAUCCCGUGGCUCAACCACGGAACUGCACGGCGAACUACGGGGCUUGAGGCCGGUAGAGGUGCCUGGAACUCUAGGUGGAGCGGUGAAAUGCGUAGAUAUCUAGAGGAACGCCGGAGGCGAAAGCGGGGCACUGGGCCGGUUCUGACGCUGAGACGCGAAAGCGUGGGGAGCAAACAG
rnacentral:rRNA from 1 species